AGAACCUAUAAUGGAAAGAAUAUAAUAUGAGAUUAACCUUGUAAUAAUACUUGCAUAGAACUAAAUGUGUGAUAUUAUAUAGAGAUAAUUUAGUGACUUUGUAAGUCAUAGUUACCCUUUUUUAAUACAGAUCUUGAGAUGCCAGCCAUGCUGACCAGUGUGGAGGCUACGACGACAGCGGUUAGAGAAAGGCUCUAACAGUCAUUCCAUACAUGCAGUAUAGCCACUGCUAACUAAAGGUAUGAAUCAUUCCUUUGCUUGACUGACGUUUAUACAGAUUGAGUUAUAAUGAUAGCAGUCAUAGUCAAUAAUCUUUGGAGAUGAAUUCAGGCAAUGUUUUAAUUCUUUUUGUUCCAAACUUAUUCCCCAGAGUUUGGAACAAAAUUGGUUGAGUUAGUCUGGGAUAUUUGGUAGUGGCUGGGGAGACACUGCCAGAAUCACAGAGAGUAGAGUCAAAAGUACAAUUUGAGUAUCUGAGAAAUUGCAUAAAGACGUCAGUUCAUGGGAUGUGUGAUUCAUAUCAUUUAAAAUUAUUUAUUUGUGUUCUACAUUCAUCAAUUUAAUGAAAAAUAGGUUUAACAGGUACUAGAAGAAGCUGAUUUGAAACUAUUAAUGUCAUCUAGCGUCGAGUAGAAGUGAUAGCCACGAGAUGGACACAGAAAUUGGCAGCAUAGCAUUUACGUUAUGUGUGUUAUAAUAAAGAUAUAUUGCUCUUUUAUUUAAGCAUGAAUGUACGAAUUGUAUACUUAUUUUAUUGUGAUUUCCCUUCAUACCAAUUAUAUGUAGAAAUAUUGGUAAAGAAUGUUUAUUUGUUGUUCGACAAAGUGAGGUUGACAAUUGGUGCAAGUUUACGAAGUUUGAUAAGUACAAGUUUACGAAGUUUGUAGAGCUCAAGUUUACGAGGUUUGUUAGUACUUACAACAUUUUAUUUUCAAAUGCUUAUUAUAAAUUAAUAAAUAUGUUAAACAUUAACAAAAUUAAUACACAAAUAAAAGGACAAAUAAUUGCUUUCUGUAAUUAUUGGUUCUUAAAACAUAAAUGAAAAAUCGAUGUGAUCGAUAAACACGCAUAAAAAACAGUCGAUUUACGAACGUCUGUCUUUGACAUAUGACAUUAAAGGAUUGAAAAUAUUGUUACCGGCGAAAUAUGUAUAUAAAUAAAAGUGAAAUUACUUGUUGAUUACCUGAAAAUAUGACGGGGAGUCCGUUUCUACACAGGGAGGUAGUACCAGGAUAAAUCUACGCUAAUUCUAGCCACUGUGGUCCCAAUGCAGACAUUCGGUUUUAUGGCUCAUUGGGAAGCAGGCACAGCAAAGAGGUUUGGGGUUUAAUCCCUAGCAAGGACGCCCUUGUGGCGAUAUGAACGCCCUUGGGGCAAAAUGUUGAAAGACUCGAUCUUGAGAUGCCAGCCAUGCUGACCAGUGUGGAGGCUACGACGACAGCGGUUAGAGAAAGGCUCUAACAGUCAUUCCAUACAUGCAGUAUAGCCACUGCUAACUAAAG